rfam:Candidatus Taylorbacteria bacterium RIFCSPLOWO2_01_FTLL_48_100 rifcsplowo2_01_scaffold_40413, whole genome shotgun sequence.
GUAAUCGCGGGUCAGCAAACCGCGGUGAAUACGUUCUCAAGUCUUGUACUCACCGCCCGUCAGGUUAGGGGAGCCGGGAAUGCCCGAAAUGCCGCCUAGAGCGGUCCUAAGGCAAGCUCGGUGACAAAAACCAAGUCGUAACAAGGCACGGGUAGCGGAAGCUGCUCGUGGAAUCAUUCAAGG